GAAUACAGCUAAAGCAGGAUAAGCAGGAAUGUUCUUCUGCAGGAAUAUUCUAUCCUAAACUAGGAUAAGCAGGAAUAUUGUCCUGCAGGAAUAAUCUAUCCUAAAGCAGGAAUAUUCUUCUGCAGGAAUAUUCUGCCCUGGGAAUAGUCUAUCCCAAAUCAGUAUAAGCAGGAAUAUUCUUCUGCAGGAACAUUCUGCCCUAGGAAUAGUCUAUCCUAAACCAGGCUAUGCAGGAAUGUUCUGCCCCUGCAGAGGCACAUUAAUGAUUGAUGGACCUAGUUGUUGUAGUGGAAUAAAAUACUUUUUAUGUAAAGAAAGAACAUACUUUUUAUGUAAAGAAAUAUGAGAAGAUGAAAUCACACCCAAUUGUUGUUGUAGGUCUUGUGGAGAAUUGGAAGUUUGUGACAGUGGGGAAUGAAAGCUUUAAUCAAAGUGAUCACAGGGAAGCAUUUCAGCAACAGCAGGUCAACAACACAGUGGAAAUUUCCUCAAAGGCUCCAGCUCCAAUCAGUCCUGAACAGAAGUGUGAGUGAGGCUCAUGGAAGGAAUAAACAUAAAGAGGAAUUGGGUUCUUUCAAUACAGCAGUAAUGGAGAUGAAAGGGUUAAUUCAAAAUGUCAGGCUAAGAAUUAGAAGUUGUAGAAGUGUAACUUGCAUUAUUACAGACAAUACUUUUUGACUUCUCAGUCACAAUUAAUUUGGGGGGUAGGUGGAGGAAACCAUGUGUAAAAAGAGCACCCUUUGUAAUACUCUGGCUCGUGAGAUGGCAUCAGGAGUCACUGCCAACUUCAGGAGACAGAACAGAGCAGGGAAUGUGACAGUGCUCCCCAGUGCUGUCACUGCACAGAUCCUCCUCCUCUCCAGCCUGGCACCAUCAAGGGCAGUGACACCACUCCCUCAGGGAAAGCUUUUGGAGAAGCAGCUCUAACUCAGCAUGUUACUGGAGUGCACUUCAGGGCUGUUCUUAGAACACAUCAUAGGGGCCAAUUAGUUGCUGUUAAACUUUUCAGAGGUGAUUGGGAGCACAGAAAAGCAAAUAUAAAACAGUGUUUGUUUUAUAGUUCUGCUAGAAAUAAGGUAAAGACUUGGUGGGCUACUGUGUGUUUAUUGAUAAACAGCAUUUCCUUUUCAAAAACAAACAGUUUUUAAGUUAACCUGAUCAAAGUACACAAGUCUCAGUGGAGUUUAAGACAAUUCACACAGGCGCUUUUGGUGAGGAAAC